UCCUGCCUGCGACGUGAUCCCUUUCUCAAUGAAAAGCCGUCUCUAGGCUGCAAUGACAGUUUCAUCCCCAAAGCAACAGCAAACGGUGAGCGAUCGAUCCCACCUCCAGCCGGCCAAGCCAACCCUACCUGGGCCGACCUGUCCCCACCUGAGCCAGUGCCAAGCCGGCAGUAUGUGCCCCUAACGCUGCAGCGGAGGAUCUCCCGGGGGGCCGGCAACCUGACUGCCAAUGAGUAGCAACGUUCCGGAGCUGUGACCCAGAGGGGUUGGAUCCCCUGGGGUAGAUGUGCGAUCCCCCCACUGAUGGCUCCGGCGGGGACUGUGGGAGAUGAGGGGCGGUGCAUUGGGUGCAUAGGCAGAGGCUGGCAGGGGUGCCCGACAGCUGCAAUGCCAUGGGCAAGGUGGGCAUCGCUGCUCCUCUUUGUGGCUGUGAUGGCAGCUCUGCAGAUGCCCGUACGGGCCAUGGAAGGCUGCUGAAUAUGUUCCGGAAAAGGUGAAGAAAGCGGAAAAGAAAUUGGAAGACAAUCCGUAUGACCUUGAUGCAUGGAGCAUUCUCAUUCGCGAGGCACAGAAUCAGCCUAUAGACAAAGCACGGAAGACAUAUGAGCGACUUGUUGCCCAGUUCCCGAGCUCUGGCAGAUUCUGGAAACUUUACGUUGAAGCAGAGGUUAAUAUUUUCAUUUUUUUUUCUUACUAAUUGAUUUUUUUAUUUCACAAACAUGUUCUAGGUCUGAGUUGAGAAAUAACUGGUAGGACACUAUAUUAGUUAAUGUUCCUUACCUUGUAAUCUGGGGCUGAAAUUGCAAGCGCUGACUUUUAAGGUGUUUAACCGCAGCGAUGAUUGUUGCAUAGUGUUUUUGCAACAACAUUAAAACAUUUUAAUGGUAUGGAGUGCUUUAGACUUUUA